UACGGAGGUGGCAAGCGUUGCUCGGAAUCACUGGGCGUAAAGGGUGCGUAGGCGGCGUGGUAAGUCGGGUGUGAAAUCUCGGAGCUUAACUCCGAAACUGCAUUCGAUACUGCCGUGCUUGAGGACUGGAGAGGAGACUGGAAUUUACGGUGUAGCGGUGAAAUGCGUAGAUAUCGUAAGGAAGACCAGUGGCGAAGGCGGGUCUCUGGACAGUUCCUGACGCUGAGGCACGAAGGCCAGGGGAGCAAACGGG
rnacentral:rRNA from 1 species